rnacentral:lncRNA from 1 species
AAAAUUCCAGCAACAUAACCUCAAAAUUCAGCUUUAUUACCUCACAAAUUUUCAGCUUUCUUCUUCCUCUAAAAAUUACAGCAAAAGCUCUCUUUUUCCUUCCUCAAAGUGCAGCAAAAUCGUUCGCUUUUCUCUUUCUCUCCCACGGUUCUUUCUCUCCCUUUUUCUUUUCAUUUCUUUCUUCCUCUCCCACGGUUUUUCUUUCCUUUAUUUUUCUUCU